AAUAAGUUUAUUUUUUAGAUUUUGAUACAAUCUUUGACUCUUUGUCUUAUUUGAAAAUUUUUUUACGAUUAAUGUUUUUAUUUUUAUUAGAUGAUAAAACAUUAAUAAUACUUUACGAGUGACUAUUUUUAAAUUUUUUAAUAAAAAUUUUAGAUAAGAGGAAUGGUCAAACGCUAGACAUAGAAGUC
rnacentral:pre_miRNA from 1 species